GACGAACGCUGGCGGCGUGCCUAAUACAUGCAAGUCGAGCGAAUCAAUAGGAGCUUGCUCCUGUUGGUUAGCGGCGGACGGGUGAGUAACACGUGGGCAACCUGCCUGUAAGACUGGGAUAACACCGGGAAACCGGUGCUAAUACCGGAUAAUCCUUUUCCUCUCAUGAGGAAAAGUUGAAAGUCGGUUUCGGCUGACACUUACAGAUGGGCCCGCGGCGCAUUAGCUAGUUGGUGAGGUAACGGCUCGCCAAGGCGACGAUGCGUAGCCGACCUGAGAGGGCGGUCGGCCACACUGGGACUGAGACACGGCCCAGACUCCUACGGGAGGCAGCAGUAGGGAAUCUUCCACAAUGGACGAAAGUCUGAUGGAGCAACGCCGCGUGAGCGAUGAAGGCCUUCGGGUCGUAAAGCUCUGUUGUUAGGGAAGAACAAGUAUCGGAGUAACUGCCGGUACCUUGACGGUACCUAACCAGAAAGCCACGGCUAACUACGUGCCAGCCGCCGCGGUAA
rnacentral:rRNA from 1 species